GUGGGGAAUAUUGGACAAUGGGCGCAAGCCUGAUCCAGCCAUGCCGCGUGAGUGAUGAAGGCCCUAGGGUUGUAAAGCUCUUUCACCGGUGAAGAUAAUGACGGUAACCGGAGAAGAAGCCCCGGCUAACUUCGUGCCAGCAGCCGCGGUAAUACGAAGGGGGCUAGCGUUGUUCGGAAUUACUGGGCGUAAAGCGCACGUAGGCGGACAUUUAAGUCAGGGGUGAAAUCCCAGAGCUCAACUCUGGAACUGCCUUUGAUACUGGGUGUCUUGAGUAUGGAAGAGGUAAGUGGAAUUCCGAGUGUAGAGGUGAAAGUCGUAGAUAUUCGGAGGAACACCAGUGGCGAAGGCGGCUUACUGGUCCAUUACUGACGCUGAGGUGCGAAAGCGUGGGGAGCAAACAGGAUUAGAAACCCCGGUAGUCC
rnacentral:rRNA from 1 species